UCGUUUGAUGAAUUCAUAGUCAAACGAGGUGAACCGGGGGAACUGAAACAUCUCAGUACCCCGAGGAAAAGAAAUCAACCGAGAUUCCCUCAGUAGCGGCGAGCGAACGGGGAGCAGCCCAGAGUCAGCAUCAAUAUUUACCGCAGGAGAAGGGUCUGGAAAGGCCGGCAAUAAAGGGUGAUAGCCCCGUAUCUGAAGCGGUAAGUGUUGUGAACUCGAAGAGUAGGGCGGGACACGUGUUAUCCUGUCUGAAUAUGGGGGGACCAUCCUCCAAGGCUAAAUACUCCUGACUGACCGAUAGUGAACCAGUACCGUGAGGGAAAGGCGAAAAGAACCCCGGCGAGGGGAGUGAAAUAGAACCUGAAACCGUGUACGUACAAGCAGUGGGAGCACCCGAAAGGGUGUGACUGCGUACCUUUUGUAUAAUGGGUCAGCGACUUAUAUUCUGUAGCAAGGUUAACCGCAUAGGGGAGCCGUAGGGAAACCGAGUCUUAACUGGGCGUUAAGUUGCAGGGUAUAGACCCGAAACCCGGUGAUCUAGCCAUGGGCAGGUUGAAGGUUGGGUAACACUAACUGGAGGACCA
rnacentral:rRNA from 1 species